GAUGAACGCUGACAGAAUGCUUAACACAUGCAAGUCGAUGGGGAAGUGGUGCUUGCACCAUGGCAACCAUGGCGGACGGGUGAGUAACGCGUAAGGGACUUACCUGCAGGACUGGGAUAACAGGGGGAAACUCCUGACAAGACCGGAUAAUGUCAUGGAGCUGCUUGGCUUUAUGAUGAAAGGAGACGCCUGCGGAGAGCCUUGCGUCCUAUUAGCUAGUUGGUGAGGUAAUGGCUCACCAAGGCGAAGAUAGGUAGCCGGCCUGAGAGGGGGGACGGCCACAAGGGGACUGAGAUACGGCCCUUACUCCUACGGGAGGAAGCAGUGGGGAAUAUUGGACAAUGGGGGCGACCCUGAUCCAGCAAUUCUGUGUGCACGAAGAAGGUUUUCGGAUUGUAAAGUGCUUUCAGCAGGGAAGAAGUAAGUGACGGUACCUGCAGAAGAAGCGACGGCUAAAUACGUG
rnacentral:rRNA from 1 species